CACUCCCUAUAGAGUACAGAAAUUUCUAUACGAUUAGGAUUUCUAGUGGGUACUGCGGUCCCAUCUAUUUGUAUGCACCUCACCUAACAGUUAUUGAUAGUAUACUAAACCAAUAGGUGGAUAACUCUUUGUCCAAUGCAUCUCAUGCAUAUUGCAGUGAUUCGAUCUCUAAGUCAUGUGAGCUUACCUAACAGUUAUUAACCAUACUUCUUAGUUAAGUCAGAU
rnacentral:lncRNA from 1 species